rnacentral:rRNA from 1 species
CUCCAGUCGCGGUAGCGAGGAUGCAGUGUUAUUCGGAAUGAUUGGGCGUAAAGAGUCUGUAGGCGGUUUAGAAAGUCUUUUGUGAAAUACUUCAGCUCAACUGAGGCUCCGCAAAAGAAACUUCUAGACUUGAGGAAAGUAGAGGUACAGGGAAUUUCCGGUGGAGCGGUGAAAUGCGUAGAUAUCGGAAGGAACACCAAUAUGGCGAAGGCACUGUACUGGGCUUUUCCUGACGCUCAGAGACGAAAGCUGAAGGAGUGAUUAGGAUUAGAUACCCUAGUAAUUUCAGCCGUAAACGAUGAAAACUCACUGUCGAGCCAAUAUAUGGAGCGGUGGUCAAGCUAACGCGUGAAGUUUUCCGCCUGGGGAUUACGCUUGCAAAAGUGAAACUCAAAGGAAUUGACGGGGACCCGCACAAGCGGUGGAGUAUGUGGUUUAAUUCGAUGCAACGCGAAAAACCUUACCAGGGUUUGAAAUAAUUUCAAAACUUCUUGAAAGAGAAGCCUCCUUCGGGAUGGAAUUACAGGUGGUGCAUGGCUGUCGUCAGCUCGUGUUGUGAAAUGUCAAGUUAAGUCUUGUAACGAGCGCAACCCAUGUCUCUUGUUGCUGUUUACAGUGCUUAAGAGAAACUGCCGAUCAACAUCGGAGGAAGGUGUGGAUGAUGUCAAGUCAGCAUGCCCCUUACAUCCUGGGCUACACACGUACUACAAUGGUCGAGACAAAGGGUCGCUAACCUGCGAAGGUAUGCCAAUCUCAUAACUCGUU